AUUUUAGUGAAAUCUUAAUUUGUCACUUUUGCUUAUUUUAAUGCAAUAUCUUUUUGUUUUUUACAUAUGUGAUCGAUUAGUCGUUACUUUAACACAGGAAUUACAAUGCAACAUUCCCUCCAGAAAACUGGGUUAGUCUUUAAUUUCAAAUUUUAGGCGCCUCACCUCCCCCUAUCGCUGUGCAGAUUAGUCUGCUUCUGUUUGCUGAUUGGACCAACAAGAGCGCACAGUCUGCCCUCCUCCUGCUGGAACUUUCCAUACGUGAUUGACAGCCACAACAGAAGAGAACUGCGUGCGGUGCAGUUAUUGGGCCUUUCCUGAAGGACUAUAGUUGUGAUCUGCUGCUGCCCGACUUGGAUGAAAAGGAAGAUGCAAUGUUUUGCCAUGUGGAUGACGUGUGCCUUCCAGAAGAAGUAAAUACAGAGGACGUGAAUUUGACUCUUAGUUGUUUUAGUAUGCAGGCAUUCAUGCCUUUCUACAAGAAAGUUCAUGCUAAGUCUGGAUCGAAACCUUGUGCAGGCCAACAAUGCUUCCCACAUUUCUCUGCUAUGCAUGAUCUUCACAAACUACUAGAGCUUCAACAUCCACUAUCCAUCCACCGGAGCUGGCAUCAACUUUGGAGUUUCUACAGAGAUGCUUUUUCUCCAUCAACCCAGAGAGAGACAGACCAGAGUGGACAAGAAGGGCAAAUCUCAUCUCAUCUUGAACCCAAGAGUCUUAACCGUGAUUCAGGAACGGUCAGAUUUUGAGUGGAGAGGCGUGUAAACACUGUAAGCAACAUUGCAAGCAUAGUUUUAAGGUUU